ensembl:lncRNA
CUCUGGGGGUGGGGCUCAGCUCACUUAUCUCUCCUUCCACCCUCUGGACUCGGGCACACCUGGAGCUCUUGCUUCCUGCAAGCCAGCUGGGAGAGGAAGCUGGAGGGGAGAGGAAUGGGACCAACAGGAGUAGCUGUCCUGACUGCCGCUGUCCUCCUGGUCAUUCAGGUCUCAGAGGGUUGAAAAAAUGAGGCUCAGAGAAACUGGCACUGAAAAGAGGUCAGAGGCAUAUGAGAUGGAAAGUUUGAAUAUUCUCCUUCUUUUCUUCUUUUAGCCAUUCUCCCCGCAGCCUCCAAUUGUUGCACUGAAAUGUCCCAUCAGAUUUCUAGAAGACUUUUAGCAAAAGUGAAAAGAUGUCACAUUCAAAAAGCUGAUGGAGAUUGUGACCUGCCAGCUGUUAUCCUCUAUGUCCAUCAUCGAAAAUACUGUGUCAGCCCACAUAAUCACACUCUUAAGAAAUGGAUGAAAACGCAAAAGAACAAGAAAAAUGCAAAAGAAAAUAUUUGUAAUAGAAAGAAACACUCCUAUAAGAAGAAGAAGAACAAGGUGGCAAAGCAAAGACACCUUCAUAAAUAUGGACAGAAUCUACAAAGGGCUUCCCUGCAAUGAACCUGGCAAAUUACCGAUUAUAUGGAUUUACUAUAAGUUAUCCAGAGCCAAAUGUUUACUCUUAGAAACCAACAGUUCCCAAGGAGAAAGGAACAGUAGUCAACUGUUUUCUGCAAUAUAUGAAGUAGCUAAUAAUAACUUAAAAUAGGAAAAAAUAAUAUUAAAAAUGUUAUCUGUCUUGGAAGUAGAGGAAAGCCAUUUUUAAUGGGGAAAUUGAUGCCAAAUUAUCAAUUUUUUAAAAAUCAAGACUUAUUUUCUCUUGUGAUUUCACUCUUCCCCCAAGGCCAUUAACCAUUAAAAUGCUUUAAUACUUAACCUAGUUCCCCUGCAUAUCAUUAAUUUGUUUCUACACUUUACACCCAUUCCUUUCUUGUCAACUGAGGUUUAGCUGAUAUAACAAUCUGAUUUUUUGUGCUUUGGAGAGCAAGAACCAGUGAGUCCUUUAUUCAGUGCUCUAAGCACUGUAGGGCUAAUCUCGGCAUAAAAUUAGGACACCUGUAGGAACCUAAGAGCCAAUUAUUAGCAAAAAGACACUGAAAGCAGGCCUUGUAUUAUAAUGGAAAGUACCAAAGCAAGAGGUGUGGAGAGAAUGGGAGAGAAUUUGUUUUGGUUUUAACAUAAAACAUUAAGGGAAUCUCUGGAAUUUUUUGCUCGGAAGCCCAGAAUUCAAAUUUAUUUCUGCUACAUUUUUAGUUUUAAAAAAUAAUUUGAAAAACUUUAAAAACUGUAAAAAAAAUACAUAAUUUGUACAAAUAUUGCCAAUGAAUCUAUAGAGAGAUUGAACAGACUCAAUUCUGAUUGUGUUAAGAUUUAUUCAUGAGUAUUUGGGGGGCAGAAUUUAAUUCUAGAUAUUGGAAUUAGUCUUCAUAGAUAAGCCUCCCAUUUACAAAUCUACAGCCUCUUUGUUUCAUUUUAAACCACUGAGUGAGCAUAUAAGGCUUAAAAAGUGCUUCUUUCACAAUAAAUAAAAGUGGUGUAAAUACUAUCUUUUUUUUUAUAAAUGAAAAAGUUGAAAUUUAGAAAACUGCGUAGCCUAGCCCACACUCACAGGAGCUCAAAACCCAGACACUCCCAGCAUCGCCCUAUAUUCACCACACGUCUAUCAUUUUAGCAUGUAAAUAGAGUUAAUAAUAGAACACUAUCUUGAAGCAUUCCUUUCUGCUCUACUACUACAUCAGUCAUCAAUUUUUUUUUCAGAUUGAUUUUUUCUGCUUCUCGUUACUUCAUCUCUCUGAUUUAUUAAGCAACACAUGUUAUCAAUAUUAUCUUCCUAAAAUAGUCUGGUCAUGUUACUCACCUACCCCAACACCCUGAAGCAACUUUUUAAUCCACCUCUCAGAUAGCAUAUAAACUUUUGAGUCUGUUAUUAAGACUCAUCUCUCUCCCACCCACUUUUCCAGGUUUAUUUUGUAUUAUUUCUCUCCAUAUUGUUUUAUGUUCUAACCAAAUUAGCCUCCUACCUAUUUGCCAAACUCAACAGUCUCUUUAGCACCACCCCAUAGCCAUAACACAUUCCUUCCUCAUGACUUGUCUUUCCUCAUCUCUUUUCAAAGAGGUCGAGGUAUUCUUGUCUGUGAAACCUUCCCUCUUACAACCAAUUAUUAUUAGUAUUUACUUAUCCGUGUUCACAUUAUUUCCCUUCAAUAGAUAGUAAGCUUCUCAAGAAUAAAAACUGUUUUGUUUUUCUUAAGUGCUUGUCAGCAUAUGAAACACAUGUUUCUUGCUUUGAAUAUUCAUAAAAUAAAAUAAAAAGUUGAUACCAUUGCAUGACGAUUAUUUACUAAGAUUUGCAUUGAGGCAGAAUUUGAUUCUGGGUACCAAAGGUAAUAAGAUAUCUACUCACAGGUAAAUCUCUUUGCAAAAUCUCCUACAAUAUAUCUAUUUCAUAUUAACAGAUUAUGUUGUAGAGUAAAUGUAUCAGGUAUUUUUAUAAAACAUUUUAUUGUGAGUCAUUUAUACUUCAUAAAUAUUUAAGCAACCUGUUGCAAUUUUUCUACAUUACCUACAGUUUCAAACAUUUGGAACAAAUUUUUUGAUGCAAGUGGAAUCAAAUUUAAAACCAAAAUUUGUAUUUUCUGUUUUUUAGCUUUUUCCUUUUCUCCAACUUACUUUGUGAAAUCCUGUACACUCUCUUAAUAGAAUUAAAUGUUGAUUCAGUUUAUUUUUAAUACAAGUCAAUUCCUACCUUCCCCCUUCUAAAGAAAACCAAAACAAGACAGUUAAGCAAAUCCACAUAAUAACUCAAUCAAAUUGAUCAAGGAUAUAAGAUUAUUAUUCACCUAUAAUCCUCCAUCAGAGAAUUUCAACAGUCAAUUUCAACAUCAGUCAUCUGGAACGAACAUGGGCCAUUGCACUUAUCCUUCCAUUUUUUAAUGUAAUCUUUGUUUUUCUGCUAGAGGCUGGCCUUGCAAAGUUCACAUUGGCCUGAUAUAAUGUUUCAGGGAUUUGUUUCCUUUUACGCUUUAGAUUCUUGUCUUGAGUUUGUUCCAGUGUUAAGAGCUUAUGUGAUGCUCUAGAGAUGUACAUUUCUUUCUUUGUGGUAUCUCUUCUAGAAGGUCAUACUCUCUAUUUGGGAAUUAAAGUCAGCUUCCAAAAUCCAUCGUAUUGAAUAGGAGAGUAGAAAUUGGCAACAGAAAAGCCAGGAAAACAGUUUCAUGUGCUGGCCCUAAAAAAUAAACAAUCACAAUCACAAUAAUAGCAACAACAACAAAACCCCGAAUCUGUAAAGUGAAGUGAACAUCGUGGAUGGAGUGUAACCCUGGAGUUAGUUAUUGGAAUGAGUGGAGAUUAUGAUCCACCAAAAGGCACAAAUUCAGACAAUAGCAUUAUUUAUUAUUCGGCUUCAGAACAAUCCCAAACCCUGGUUCAGUUACUGACAGCUAUGAUAGUAUUGUUGUUUCCCAAUGUGCAAUUACUGAUGUAAAGAUAGCAUAUUCUGUGGCAACUCUAAAACCUUAGGUAGAGCUAUGCAUUUCUCAAUGAGAGCAUACACAAAUUUAUAUGCUGUGUUUAAAAUCAAAGUGUCCAUUGCAGUCUGCCUUCUAUGUCUAAAUUAUCAAUUUAUAUCUAUAUAGAAAAUCAGUUUACAUUAAUGAUGAUGUCAUAUCUGUAGCAUAUGAAGUCAAGAUUGGCUAGCUCCAUUGGUUAAAGCAUGACAUUUGUGAUGGUUGCCUUGAAAAUUCAAUUCCAGAGAUGUAGAAGAAAAAUUGGGAAGAGAAAUGAGAAGGAUGCAAAAGGAAAUAUAAAAAGGUGAUAAGGAGAAGAAUGCUUAAAAAGCAAAAUUGGUCAAAAGGGAAAGGAGGCACAAAAGUUCCCUGAGGAAAAUAAUUCCUCAAAAAUUAGAAUUGAGCAAAUGGAAGCUAAUAACAUUAUGUGAAAUCAAGAAACAAUAAAAUAAAACCAAAAGAAUGAAUAAAAUAGAAAACAAGGUGAAAUAUCUCAUUGGAAAAAUAACUGACCUGGAAAAUAGAUUCAGAAGAGAUAAUUUAAAAAUUAUUGAUCUGCCUGAAAGCCAUGAUCAAAAAAAGACCCUAGAUAUCAUCUUCCAAGAAGUUCUCCCUCCCUUUUUCUCUCUCUUCUUCUCCCUCUCCCUCUUCCUUUCCCUCUCCCUCUCUCUCUUUUCUUUCUCCUUUUCCCUUUUUCCUUCUCCUCCCCCUUCCUCUCUUUCUCCCUCUCCCUCUCUCUUCUCUCUUUCUAUCUCUCCCUCUCUCUCUGUCUCUCAUAAAUCUUAACUUUUAAAAAUAUUUUAUUUUUGGGUUUGAAGUUUUUAUGUCACUGUAACUUCCCAAUAGCCUCACUCCAAAAGAACCCUUCUUUGUUACAAAUAAGUAUAGGCAUAUCUGGGAGAUAUUGUGAAUUUGAUGCUACACCAUUGCAAUAAAGCAAAUAUAACAAUAAAGUGAAUACUGCAAUAAACCAAAAAUUACGUUAAACCACAAGUCACAAUAAAGUGAGUCAUAUAAAUUUUUUGGUUUUCCACUGUAUAUAGUUAUGGAUAAAUUAAUAUUAAGUAAAUAAAUUAAGUAUAUAAUAUUAAAGUAAUUCUUUAUAUCUUUAAAAAUGGGCUUAUCUUAAUAAAAAAAAAUACUUCAUUGCUAAAAAUGCUAAACCAUCAUCUGAGCCUUCAGCAAGUCAUAAUCUGUUUGCCAGAAGAAGAUCUUGUCUUGAUGUUGCUUACCGCUGACUGAUCAAGGGGGUGGUUGUUGAAAUUUUGGGUGGCUGUGGCAAUUUCUUAAAAUAAGGCAACAAUGAAUUUUGCCACAUCAGUUGAUAAUUUCUUUCACUUGAAUACAUAAAGGCCAUUGUGGAGUUGCUAACUGGCCCAAUUUCAAUAUUGAUACCUCUCAGGGACUAGAGACCCAAGGAAGAGAAUAAUGGGAAAUAUCCAGUUGAUGGAACAGUCAGAAGACAUAUAACAUUUAUCAACUGAGUUCUCCAUCUUAUAUGGGCAAGGUCUGUGGCACCUCAAAACACUUACAAUAGUAACAUCAAAGACCACUGAUCACAGAUCACCGUGACAGAUGUAAUAAUAAAGGAAAAACUUUGAAAUAUUGCAAGAAUCAUCAAAGUGUGACACAGAGACAUGAUAGGAGCCAUGCAAUUGAAAAAAUGAUACCAUCUAUCAAUUGGAGAAUGGCUGAAUAAGUUUUGGUAUAUGAAUGUUACGGAAUAUUAUUGUUCUAUAAGAAAUGACCAGCAGGAUGAUUUCAGAAAGGGCUGGAGAGAUUUACAUGAACUGAUGCUGAGUGAAAAUAGCAGAACCAGGAAAUCAUUAUAUAUUUCAACAAGACUAUAUGAUGAUCAAUUCUGAUAGACGUGGGUCUCUUCUACAAUGAGAUGAUUCAGGGCAGUUCCAAUAGAAUUGUGAUGGAGAGAGCCAUCUAUACCCAGAGAGGUGGGGAUUGAAUGAGGAUCACAACUUCGUAUUUUCACCCUUUUUGUUGUUAUUUGCUUGCUUUUUUUUUUCUUUCUUAUUUUUUCCUUUUUGAUUUGAUUUUUUCUUGUGCAGCAUGAUAAAUAUGAGAAUAUGUAUAAAAGAUUUGUACAUGUUUAACAUAUAUUGAAUUAUUUGCCUUCUACGGGAGGGGAUGGCAGGAAGGGAGGGAAAAAAUUUUGGAACACAAGGUUUUGCAAGAGUGAAUGUUGAAAACUAUCUUUGCAUAUAUUUUGAAAAUAAAAAGCCAUUAUUUUUUUUAAAAUGAUGUUGAAAGAUAUGGUAGAUACGAGGUUGCCACAAACUUUUAAUUUGCAAAUAAACAACCAAAAAUACUCAUAAUAAUGCAAAGCACAAUAAAACAAGAUAUGCUGGUAGCCUAGACUGGCUUGGCUGAUCAGCUUGCAAAACUCUUUGAGUGCAUAUGCAGGAACUAAGUUAAAAUAUAAUUGGGAAGUCUUUAAUAAGAUAAAUAAAAAUAGAGAAUAUAAAUUUAUAGUUUUCUAAGUUACCAUGCAGUCUACAGGAUUCCUUUUUUAUUUGAGUGUCUAACACCUCUGAUGUAGAAAACCUGCAAUUUAUACUGUUAAAGAAGUUAGAGGUCAAUGGACUUGCCCAGAAUCAUACAGCAGGACUUGAAAGUGAAUCUUCCUGCUCUCAAGGCUAGCCUUUUGUCUACUAGCCCAGAUAACAUUUCAAGUACAAUCAAGACAAAACGAAAAAAUGAAGUCUUAUCCAGACCUGAAAACAUCUGCCUCAUUCCUUACUUAUUUAUAGUCAUGACUGAGAAAGUGCUAUGUCAUUCUUGGUGUUCCAGUUGCAUUUUCCUGACCCAGACCCUUACUAUUGAUCUGUGACCUAUGACUCCUUAGUGCUGAACUAAUUAAAUUUUUUCUACUCACAACCCGUUUUUCCUAAGAAAUUUUUACAUGACUCCUGGUAUAUAGGUAUAUAAAAUAGGUAUGCAAAUCAAAUAUUUACUGAUAAUAAAUUAUAAUUUCACAACCCCCAUGUUGUUAUGAUACCUCACAUGGGAUCACAAACUACAGCUUAAGAAACUGGGCUUAGAUUCUCCAAUUGAAAAAUGGUCAAAGGAUAUGAACAGACAAUUCUCAGAUGAAGAAAUUGAAACUAUUUCUAGUCAUAUGAAAAGAUGCUCCAAGUCAUUAUUAAUCAGAGAAAUGCAAAUUAAGACAACUCUAAGAUACCACUACACACCUGUCAGAUUGGCUAAGAUGACAGGAAAAAAUAAUGAUGAUUGUUGGAGGGGAUGUGGGAAAACUGGGACAUUGAUUCAUUGUUGGUGGAGUUGUGAACGAAUCCAACCAUUUUGGAGAGUAGUUUGGAACUAUGCUCAAAAAGUUAUCAAACUGUGCAUACCCU